UAUAGAGCAGCAGGAACACGUAAGCACUACCAGCCACUCCAUGACAUAUUCCAGGUCCCUUCUUCAACAGGCCUUUCUGCCAAGUUAGCUCUCCACAGCGGAUACAAGUGUCCAGAUAUUGAGGCUUCUUGGAAACCAGAUCCAUCAGUCUGAUGGAAGCUGACAACAAGCAGCAGGCAAGCUACAGAACAACCUCCAGAGUGGAGGAAGAGACAUUAAGAGAAGACAGUGGAAAAGAGACCUAGAGAAGAAGUGUUACAGGCAUAUUGGAACAGAUUUUUUCUGCAGACAGAAAAGAGAAUGCAAGGAAGAGGAAUGCAAAGAAAGCCUACAUGCUAAGCCAGACAAAAAAUGAUAUUUAAAAUCACUAUUAGAAUGGAUGAUAGAAACAAACCUACGCUGACCCACUUCCACAUUACCAAAGAAAAU